AGGGGCCUACGGGGGGCAGCAGUGGGGAAUAUUGCACAAUGGGGGAAACCCUGAUGCAGCGACGCCGCGUGAGUGAGGAAGUAUUUCGGUAUGUAAAGCUCUAUCAGCAGGGAAGAAAAUGACGGUACCUGACUAAGAAGCCCCGGCUAACUACGUGCCAGCAGCCGCGGUAAUACGUAGGGGGCAAGCGUUAUCCGGAUUUACUGGGUGUAAAGGGAGCGUAGACGGAGGAGCAAGUCUGAUGUGAAAAUCCGGUGCCCAACCCCGGAACUGCACUGGAGACUGUUUAUCUAGAGUG
rnacentral:rRNA from 1 species